AAUGAACGCUGGCGGCGCGCCUAAUACAUGCAAGUCGAGCGAGAAGACGUAGCAAUACGUUUGUAAAGCGGCGAACGGGUGAGGAAUACAUGGGUAACCUACCCUCGAGUGGGGAAUAACUAGCCGAAAGGUUAGCUAAUACCGCGUACGCUUCUUGGACUUCGGUUCAGGGAGGAAAGCGAUGCCGAGGGUAUCGCGCUCUUGGAUGGGCUCAUGUCCUAUCAGCUUGUUGGNGAGGUAACGGCUCACCAAGGCUUCGACGGGUAGCUGGUCUGAGAGGACGAUCAGCCACACUGGCACUGCGACACGGCCCAGACUCCUACGGGAGGCAGCAGUGGGGAAUUGUUCGCAAUGGGCGCAAGCCUGACGACGCAACGCCGCGUGGAGGAU
rnacentral:rRNA from 1 species